UUCUUUUUUUCCCCUCUCUUAAUUUCUUUCCUUCUUUCCUUCUUUCUUUCUUUCUUUCUUUUUUCUUGGUCUCAGCCGUGCGGACAUGAUGGGGAAUGGAGGGAAGUCGUGACAGCAGGCUGCUCAGGCGGCGGGCUGGCAUUCCAGGCGGGCUGUGGCUGAGCCAGCGUGCGCCUCAGUCCUCCGCAGCUCGGGCAGCGGGAAGGUGGAGCCAGCCGCUUCUCCCCGAAUAACUGGGAGAUGAAACAGGAAGCUCUAUGACACAGUUGAUCGAAAAUGACACAGACACAGAAAAAUCAGGACUCGGCCCCCUCCAGUGCCUCUACCUGCUGCCCACAGCCGGAGUGCAGAUUGCAAAGUAAGAAGCAGAAGGGGAAAGGACUUGGCUGCCAGCAGCUUGCCCAUCUUUUAUGGAUUGGAUCUGUAAAGGAGACUCUCAGAAGCUGUGGUUAUUUCAAGCUAUGAUGACCGGUUUUUAGUUCAUUUUUCUACAUGGCAUGAGGUGAUGCCCAGCGGCUCUUCGGGUGCCUGAGGGCCAUUCCUACAGGAGCCCCACGCCUACAGCUCGCCAGUCCCCAUCCUUCGCCCAUUUGUCGAUGUGCGGCCUUUUCAUGAUGGAUAGGAAUCUGUGCAGGCCCCGGGGGCCUGAAGGGGAGCAUUCAGGCUGCUUGCCCUGCAUAAAUGUCCAGACACUUGGGCUGUGAGGGAAGGAACCCAACUCGGAGUAGCUGGGGAAGAAAUGUAUGGGUCACCGCGAAAAGUGCAGGACUGGCUUGACUCUGAUGUCAACAGGACUAGGUCUCAGUCACCCCGUCUCUCUUGAGGGGGGCUCUCCACCAGGGGUGGCUGUGAGUUGGCUGCUAGCAGCUUAGCUCAAAGACUGUCCUCUCAGCAGCCCAGGUGACAGACAUGGGAAUGGCAUGACGGGACCGUCUGCCCAUCCUGGACUGGUCACUGGAGAUGGGGUGUGCUGGUUUGUGGUUCCGGAUCACUGGUCCAGGCAGUCCACCAAACUGGUCCUGGAAGGAUGUUGGUGCCGGAGAAGGGGGAGCAGAUCCUGAAUGGAGGUCACAGCGGGUGUGCCCCACGCCGUGUUCUUUCCCUGACCUUCUACAGCUUCGUUCGUCUCUCCUGGAAGUAUAAGAUACAGCUGUUGUCCCGCUGAACUUGCCACCCUGGUCAAGCGACUUCACUUCAAGCCUGAGAUGAAGAUGUUGUGAGGCUUAACUAAAAUAACAGACCUCAAGUGUCUGUCACCUUGUGCCCAGCAACUCACUGCUCAUUGGCUCAACUAGGUUAAAAGGUUCUGAUCACAGUGCCCCAGGACAGAAAGAGCUCGCCUCCCUCUGCAGCUCCAGGUAUGACCCAACAGCAGAGGAAAACGACAACAAGAAGAAGGAGAAGAAAGAGAAAGAGGAAAAAAGGAAGGGGAAAGGGGAAGGAGCAAAAUGAAGAGAAGGAAGAGGAAGGAGAAAAUUGGCAGGUGAGAGACAGGCGGGAAGAGCAAGUAAGAGGCCACACUACACCAUCAUAAGACGCCGUGAGGGCCCAAGGACCGCCUAUUAUAAGCUGCAGCCACCGGGGGGAAAAAGAAACCGAGGACUCUGCCCCCCUAGCUGAAGGAGGUACAAAUGGAGACCAGACCCUUUGAACAUUAAAUCCUCUCCCCUUGCCCAGCCUCUGUGACAAUUCUCAUUGAAAAUAACCCAGAAAUAAGUUUUGAUGGCAUGUGUUGCUAUGCAAAUGCACCCACAUUUGCAUUUUUCGUUCUGAAUAAUAUUUUACUAGUGAACCUCUCUUAGGCCAUUACCCUAUUUCUAUUCUCUCAUUUACUAAUUUUAUUCAGGAGGUAAAUUGUGCCCAACUAAGAGACUACAUUUUUUCAGGCCCUUUGCUGGUCACUGCAGCCAUGUGACUAAUUUCUAACCAAUGAGAUAUAAGCAGAAGUAUGGGAUUUAUGAGAAAGUAAGUUAAAAGGAACUAGCUCAGGGUGCCUGGGUGGCUCAGUUGAGUGACUGCCUUCAGCUCAGGUCAUGACCCUGGGGUCCUGGGAUCAA